CAUAGGUUAAUGAGGCGAACCGGGGGAACUGAAACAUCUAAGUACCCCGAGGAAAAGAAAUCAACCGAGAUUCCCCCAGUAGCGGCGAGCGAACGGGGAGGAGCCCAGAGCCUGAAUCAGUGUGUGUGUUAGUGGAAGCGUCUGGAAAGGCGCGCGAUACAGGGUGACAGCCCCGUACACAAAAAUGCACAUAUUGUGAGCUCGAUGAGUAGGGCGGGACACGUGGUAUCCUGUCUGAAUAUGGGGGGACCAUCCUCCAAGGCUAAAUACUCCUGACUGACCGAUAGUGAACCAGUACCGUGAGGGAAAGGCGAAAAGAACCCCGGCGAGGGGAGUGAAAAAGAACCUGAAACCGUGUACGUACAAGCAGUGGGAGCCUCUUAAUGGGGUGACUGCGUACCUUUUGUAUAAUGGGUCAGCGACUUAUAUUCUGUAGCAAGGUUAACCGAAUAGGGGAGCCGAAGGGAAACCGAGUCUUAACUGGGCGUUAAGUUGCAGGGUAUAGACCCGAAACCCGGUGAUCUAGCCAUGGGCAGGUUGAAGGUUGGGUAACACUAACUGGAGGACCGAACCGACUAAUGUUGAAAAAUUAGCGGAUGACUUGUGGCUGGGGGUGAAAGGCCAAUCAAACCGGGAGAUAGCUGGUUCUCCCCGAAAGCUAUUUAGGUAGCGCCUCGUGAAUUCAUCUCCGGGGGUAGAGCACUGUUUCGGCAAGGGGGUCAUCCCGACUUACCAACCCGAUGCAAACUGCGAAUACCGGAGAAUGUUAUCACGGGAGACACACGGCGGGUGCUAACGUCCGUCGUGAAGAGGGAAACAACCCAGACCGCCAGCUAAGGUCCCAAAGUCAUGGUUAAGUGGGAAACGAUGUGGGAAGGCCCAGACAGCCAGGAUGUUGGCUUAGAAGCAGCCAUCAUUUAAAGAAAGCGUAAUAGCUCACUGGUCGAGUCGGCCUGCGCGGAAGAU
rnacentral:rRNA from 1 species